rnacentral:rRNA from 1 species
AUACGGAGGGUGCGAGCGUUAAUCGGAAUUACUGGGCGUAAAGGGUGCGUAGGCGGCUUGAUAAGUCGGAUGUGAAAGCCCCGGGCUUAACCUGGGAAUUGCAUUCGAUACUGUCAGGCUAGAGUAUGCCAGAGGUUGGCGGAAUUCCUAGUGUAGCGGUGAAAUGCGUAGAUAUCAGGAGGAACACCAGUGGCGAAGGCGGCUAACUGGGGCAAUACUGACGCUGAGGCACGAAAGCGUGGGGAGCAAACAGGAUUAGAAACCCUAGUAGUCC